UUCAGCUUCAAUUGAGCAAAUUUGUAGAGCAGCUACCUGGAGCUCUCCAAAUACUUUUUUAGGCACUAUAGACUGCAGCUACCUUCUAAUGAGGGUCUUUCCUUUGGCUGUAAGGUGCUGCAGGCUGUAGUCCCUCCCUAGAUAGAAUUCUUGCCUAUUCUCCUGGGGUGCUGUCAUAGGCGAAAGAGAAAUAUUGGAUUACACUUACCGAUGACAGCAUCCGGUUAAUUUCCCCCUCCCCCCGAAAAAAGGGGGUCGAAGUAUUUACGGGGGAAAUAAAAAAAAAUAUAUAUAUAAAAAAUUGCUCUCCGUUGCCGCAUUUCAGCACUCAGUAUUGUAUUCAGUCUGUGUGUUAUCUCCUAUAGGUUCUGACUCCAGGAGGAGAAGUCCCCCCGAGAGAUGUCCCCGUCCUCUGUAUUCCCAGGACUGUCCAGAGGAGAAGCUCCCAGAGAACCAUCAGGAUGAAAAUCUGAUGGAUAUUAAGGCUGAGGUUAAAGAGGAAGAAGAGGAGACGGAUUUAUGGGGCAAUCAGCAGGAUGGACUCAUAGAAGGAAAUCCCC